UAAACAGGUAUGUGUGUACGCACCCUAGUGAACUCACUCAACUUGAGCGAUUUAUCUGUCAAAUCAGUUGUGCUUUCAUUUCCGAACUAGCUACGGCUACGGGCAGCUUUCAGGUAUUGAUGUCAGAAAUAGUUCGAGAAGUUUCCUACCGGCUCUGCAGCAACCGGAGGUCUACGGGAUACGGGAGAAGAUUUAAACGAUAAGUUUCAACUUAAUCUAGUUACUUUUCUAUUCGAUUCAAUAUUUGCUUUUGUUUUCAUUUUUCUCUUUUCAGGUUCGCGGUUUCAGAUAGCAGCUGAGAAAAUACCAAUGGAUUUUCCUGCUUCAUCGGUGAGCUCGUAUGAACUGGUUCCCACUCUCGCCCGGAUUAUACACGGAACGUAAUAUGGACCAAGUUUGGCAUUGUAUUUCGCCAGGGCCGUCGACUGCCGAAAAUUUCUUUUCAGGACAGGCUGGCCUAUACUGUAAGUAGGGGCAAACGUUUUGCUUCGGAGAUUGUAAGUACGUGAAUUUUUGACGUAUUGUUUUUUCAGGUUUUUGUACACCAAAUUUUGAAUAAAGUUAUCUACUUUUU